CGAACGCUGGCGGCGUGCUUAACACAUGCAAGUCGAACGGAAAGGCCCUGCUUUUGUGGGGUGCUCGAGUGGCGAACGGGUGAGUAACACGUGAGUAACCUGCCCUUGACUUUGGGAUAACUUCAGGAAACUGGGGCUAAUACCGGAUAGGAGCUCCUGCUGCAUGGUGGGGGUUGGAAAGUUUCGGCGGUUGGGGAUGGACUCGCGGCUUAUCAGCUUGUUGGUGGGGUAGUGGCUUACCAAGGCUUUGACGGAUAGCCGGCCUGAGAGCGUGACCGGCCACAUUGGAACUGAGAUACAGCCCAGACUCCUACGAGAGGCAGCAGUGGGGAAUAUUGCACAAUGGGCGGAAGCCUGAUGCAGCAACGCCGCGUGCGGGAUGACGGCCUUCGGAUUGUAAACCGCUUUCGCCUGUGACGAAGCGUGAGUGACGGUAAUGGGUAAAGAAGCACCGGCUAACUACGUG
rnacentral:rRNA from 1 species